rnacentral:rRNA from 1 species
AGAGUUUGAUCAUGGCUCAGGAUGAACGCUAGCUACAGGCUUAACACAUGCAAGUCGAGGGGAAACGAUAGAGAAAGCUUGCUUUUUCUAGGCGUCGACCGGCGCACGGGUAAGUAACGCGUAUCCAACCUGCCCACCACUUGGGGAUAACCUUGCGAAAGUAAGACUAAUACCCAAUGACGUCUCUAGAAGACAUCUGAAAGGGAUUAAAGAUUUAUCGGUGAUGGAUGGGGAUGCGUCUGAUUAGCUUGUUGGCGGGGUAACGGCCCACCAAGGCAACGAUCAGUAGGGGUUCUGAGAGGAAGGUCCCCCACAUUGGAACUGAGACACGGUCCAAACUCCUACGGGAGGCAGCAGUGAGGAAUAUUGGUCAAUGGGCGAGAGCCUGAACCAGCCAAGUAGCGUGCAGGAUGACGGCCCUAUGGGUUGUAAACUGCUUUUAUAAGGGAAUAAAGUGAGUCUCGUGAGGCUUUUUGCAUGUACCUUAUGAAUAAGGACCGGCUAAUUCCGUGCCAGCAGCCGCGGUAAUACGGAAGGUCCGGGCGUUAUCCGGAUUUAUUGGGUUUAAAGGGAGCGUAGGCCGGAGAUUAAGCGUGUCGUGAAAUGUAGAUGCUCAACAUCUGCACUGCAGCGCGAACUGGUUUCCUUGAGUACGCACAAAGUGGGCGGAAUUCGUGGUGUAGCGGUGAAAUGCUUAGAUAUCACGAAGAACUCCGAUUGCGAAGGCAGCUCACUGGAGCGCAACUGACGCUGAAGCUCGAAAGUGCGGGUAUCGAACAGGAUUAGAUACCCUGGUAGUCCGCACGGUAAACGAUGGAUGCCCGCUGUUGGUCUGAAUAGGU